rnacentral:rRNA from 1 species
GACGAACGCUGGCGGCGUGCCUAAUACAUGCAAGUCGAACGCUUCUUUUUCCACCGGAGCUUGCUCCACCGGAAAAAGAAGAGUGGCGAACGGGUGAGUAACACGUGGGUAACCUGCCCAUCAGAAGGGGAUAACACUUGGAAACAGGUGCUAAUACCGUAUAACAAUCAAAACCGCAUGGUUUUGAUUUGAAAGGCGCUUUCGGGUGUCGCUGAUGGAUGGACCCGCGGUGCAUUAGCUAGUUGGUGAGGUAACGGCUCACCAAGGCCACGAUGCAUAGCCGACCUGAGAGGGUGAUCGGCCACAUUGGGACUGAGACACGGCCCAAACUCCUACGGGAGGCAGCAGUAGGGAAUCUUCGGCAAUGGACGAAAGUCUGACCGAGCAACGCCGCGUGAGUGAAGAAGGUUUUCGGAUCGUAAAACUCUGUUGUUAGAGAAGAACAAGGAUGAGAGUAACUGUUCAUCCCUUGACGGUAUCUAACCAGAAAGCCACGGCUAACUACGUGCCAGCAGCCGCGGUAAUACGUAGGUGGCAAGCGUUGUCCGGAUUUAUUGGGCGUAAAGCGAGCGCAGGCGGUUUCUUAAGUCUGAUGUGAAAGCCCCCGGCUCAACCGGGGAGGGUCAUUGGAAACUGGGAGACUUGAGUGCAGAAGAGGAGAGUGGAAUUCCAUGUGUAGCGGUGAAAUGCGUAGAUAUAUGGAGGAACACCAG